rnacentral:rRNA from 1 species
AGAGUUUGAUCCUGGCUCAGGAUGAACGCUGGCGGCGUGCCUAAUACAUUCAAGUCGAGCGAACGGACGAGAAGCUUGCUUCUCUGAUGUUAGCGGCGGACGGGUGAGUAACACGUGGAUAACCUACCUAUAAGACUGGGAUAACUUCGGGAAACCGGAGCUAAUACCGGAUAAUAUUUUGAACCGCAUGGUUCAAAAGUGAAAGACGGUCUUGCUGUCACUUAUAGAUGGAUCCGCGCUGCAUUAGCUAGUUGGUAAGGUAACGGCUUACCAAGGCAACGAUGCAUAGCCGACCUGAGAGGGUGAUCGGCCACACUGGAACUGAGACACGGUCCAGACUCCUACGGGAGGCAGCAGUAGGGAAUCUUCCGCAAUGGGCGAAAGCCUGACGGAGCAACGCCGCGUGAGUGAUGAAGGUCUUCGGAUCGUAAAACUCUGUUAUUAGGGAAGAACAUAUGUGUAAGUAACUGUGCACAUCUUGACGGUACCUAAUCAGAAAGCCACGGCUAACUACGUGCCAGCAGCCGCGGUAAUACGUAGGUGGCAAGCGUUAUCCGGAAUUAUUGGGCGUAAAGCGCGCGUAGGCGGUUUUUUAAGUCUGAUGUGAAAGCCCACGGCUCAACCGUGGAGGGUCAUUGGAAACUGGAAAACUUGAGUGCAGAAGAGGAAAGUGGAAUUCCAUGUGUAGCGGUGAAAUGCGCAGAGAUAUGGAGGAACACCAGUGGCGAAGGCGACUUUCUGGUCUGUAACUGACGCUGAUGUGCGAAAGCGUGGGGAUCAAACAGGAUUAGAUACCCUGGUAGUCCACGCCGUAAACGAUGAGUGCUAAGUGUUAGGGGGUUUCCGCCCCUUAGUGCUGCAGCUAACGCAUUAAGCACUCCGCCUGGGGAGUACGACCGCAAGGUUGAAACUCAAAGGAAUUGACGGGGACCCGCACAAGCGGUGGAGCAUGUGGUUUAAUUCGAAGCAACGCGAAGAACCUUACCAAAUCUUGACAUCCUUUGACAACUCUAGAGAUAGAGCCUUCCCCUUCGGGGGACAAAGUGACAGGUGGUGCAUGGUUGUCGUCAGCUCGUGUCGUGAGAUGUUGGGUUAAGUCCCGCAACGAGCGCAACCCUUAAGCUUAGUUGCCAUCAUUAAGUUGGGCACUCUAAGUUGACUGCCGGUGACAAACCGGAGGAAGGUGGGGAUGACGUCAAAUCAUCAUGCCCCUUAUGAUUUGGGCUACACACGUGCUACAAUGGACAAUACAAAGGGCAGCGAAACCGCGAGGUCAAGCAAAUCCCAUAAAGUUGUUCUCAGUUCGGAUUGUAGUCUGCAACUCGACUACAUGAAGCUGGAAUCGCUAGUAAUCGUAGAUCAGCAUGCUACGGUGAAUACGUUCCCGGGUCUUGUACACACCGCCCGUCACACCACGAGAGUUUGUAACACCCGAAGCCGGUGGAGUAACCUUUUAGGAGCUAGCCGUCGAAGGUGGGACAAAUGAUUGGGGUGAAGUCGUAACAAGGUAGCCGUAUCGGAAGGUGCGGCUGGAUCACCU